GGGUCCAUAGCUCAGUGGUAGAGCAAUUGACUGCAGAUCAAUAGGCCACCGGUUCGAACCCGGUUGUGGGCCCU